GGGAGACCAGAGACGGACCUGCGGCGGGAUACAUGGGAUCAUGGCGGCGGCUCGGGACCAACGGGACCGGGACCGGCUCCCGCCGCGCUGGUCCUACGGCGUCCGGCGGGACGGGCGGGUGUUCUUCAUCAGCGAGGAGACCCGGACCACCACCUGGCUGCACCCGGGGUCCGGGGAGGCGGUCAGCUCCGGCCACGUGACCCGCUCAGACCUGCCGCGGGGCUGGGAGGAGGCGUUCACGGAGCAGGGGGCCGCAUACUUCCUGGACCACAACCAGAGGACGGCGUCGUUCCGGCACCCGGUGACCGGACAGGUCGCCCCCGAGAACCUGGACUUCCUCCUGCAGGAACCGCCCGGCCCUCCUAUGAUGUCCAGAGCAGCAGCGGAGCAGCUCUCCACCUCCGUCAGCGAGGCCUCCACCUCCAUCACCUCCUCCACCGUGGACCCCUCCAAGGCCUCCAGGUCCGGUGGGAAGGUCCACAGCUUUGGGAAGAGAGAGCAGGCCAUCAAGAGGAAUCCCAACGUCCCAGCGGUGGUCCGAGGAUGGCUCUACAAACAGGACAGCUCCGGGAUGCGUCUCUGGAAGAGGAAGUGGUUCGUCUUGGCUGAUUUCUGCCUCUUCUACUACAAAGACAGCAGAGAGGAGUCGGUCCUCGGCAGCAUUCCUCUCCCCAGCUACGUGGUGGCACCCGUGGGACCGGAGGACCACAUCAGCCGCAAGUUCGCCUUCAAGGCCGGCUACGCGGGCUCCCACACUCAGAGCUCUGUGAUUGGCUCGCAGGCGGAGCACCCGGGGAUGAGGACGUACUACUUCAGCGCCGACACGCAGGACGACAUGAGCAGCUGGCUGGGGGCCAUGAACCGGGCCGCGCUGGUCCAGGACCGGGCCGACCGGGCCGGCAGGGCCGGCAGACCCGCAGACUCGUUGCGGCUGGUGCAGCAGGCCGUCCCCCAGACCAACCACCUCCAGACCAGACCGGUCCACGAGGUCCUGCUGGAGCCGCUGCACCGGGACCCGGAGGAGCUGUGCAGCUGCCUGACGGAGCCGUCGGAGAACGACCCCCGCACGUCCCAGCCCUCCAACCCCGCCGCCCCCCCGCCCUCGGGGGAGCACGCCUCGGCCUCGGCGCCGGUGUCCCGGGCCCCGUCCCGGCCCGCCUCCACCCUCCCCACCAGGAACGGCCUGGUGUCCACGCCGUCCCCCAUCCUGGAGCCCAACGGCAUCGCGGCCGGAACCUACCAGAGGGUCCCGGAGCCGGCCGGCCCCGACCGGAUGGAGUGGAGGAGGAGCACCCUGGACCAGGUGGAGCAGUGGGUGCAGGUCCAGAAGGCCGAGCACCGAGGUCCCCCCUCCAGGGAGAACACCCUGCCCCGCCGGACCCCCCCCACCCAGCACCGCUACACCACCCUGGACGCCUACCAGACCCUGCCCAGACCCCUCCGCCAGAGCCCGCCCCCCGGCCGCCUGGGCGAGUACAAGUACGCCCAGGACCGGCUGAGCCACUUCCGUCUGGGGCCGGACCAGGGCGGCCCGGGGGGCCCGGGGGGCCCGGGGGGGGCCGGCCCGGUCUGGCAGCUCUACGAGUGGCAGCAGCGCCACCAGUUCCGCCACGGCAGCCCCACGGCGCCGCUCUACACGCCGGCCCCCGAGUACCCGUUCGGGCCCCGGCCCCCGUCCACGGGGCCCCCCCGGUCCGAGGGGGGCCCCCCCCGCUGCGUGUCGGUGCCGCCGUCGUCCGCCGACGUCCCGCCGCCGGGGAGCAGCCGCACCCUGUCGCCCACGCGGAGGCCGCACACGCCGGCCGGGCGGGUGACGGUGCGGCCCGGGGGGACCGGGGGGGCCGGGGCCCUGCUGGACGCCCCCUUCACCGUGUCGCCCCGCAGGACCAAGUCCCAGAUGCUGAAGGCCGCCACCAUCGAGAGACGCUCCAUGCCGCCGUCCGGCUACAUCACACACACCGUCAGCGCGCCCAGCCUGCACGGCAAAACGGCCGACGACACCUACCUGCAGCUGAAGAAGGACCUGCAGUACCUGGAUCUGAAGGUAGUCGGAGGUCAAACACUGAAGGAUUCUGGGAAACCUGUGAAAGUGGCAGAAAGUGACGUGGACGUGAAGCUGAGUCGGUUGUGUGAACAAGACAAGAUCCUGAAGGAACUGGAGGCAACGAUCAGCUCGCUGAAAGACGACAAGGACCAGCUGGAGCGGAUCCUGGACGUGUCCCACCAGCAGAUGGAGCAGUACCAGGACCAGCCGGCCCACCUGAGCAAGAUCUCCUACCAGCAGAGGCUCCUGCAGGAGGACCUGGUCUCCAUCCGGGCCCAGAUCUCCCGCCGCUCCACGGAAAUGACGAAGGCUUGGCAGGAGUACGGCGGCCUGGAGGCGUCGCUGGAGCAGCUGAGGGCGGCGCUGCAGGCGCACGUUAGCCGCGGCGCCACGGCCCAGGACAAGGCCGACCUGAAGCGCGAGCUGUGGAGGAUCGAGGACGUCAUGGCCGGACUCAGCGCCAGCAAGUCCAACUACAAGGUCACCAUCGACUCGGUCCAGAACCCAGAGAGGAAACUAGUGCCUUCGGUCUCCGACCCGGGCGGGUCGUCCCCCGGCGCCGAGGUCCAGCCCCCGCCCCGAACCACCGCCCCCCAGCGCUCCCAGACGCUGCCUCGCAGCACCGUGCCAAAGUGGGCGGAGGAGGACGCCCCGCCCAGACCGCCGCUGCCCCGCCUCUACGACGCCGAGGACACGCCCCCGGCGGUGCCGCCCCUCCCCAGGGAGGCGUCGGCCGUCCGCCACACCUCGGUGCGCGGCCUCAAGCGCCAGUCGGACGGCAGGAGGCGGGACCGAGAGCCGGGGCCGUACGUCGCCAACGGAGACUGUAAGGCUGAUCUGAGGUCGUACCUGAGCGAGCCGGAGCUCCCGGGGGUCAGCGCCGACGCCGUCGACUUCCACUUCUACCCCAAAGGGGCGGCGUCUCAGCUGCACCAGUCCAGCUCCAUCGCCUCCUACGUCACCCUGAGGAGACGUGGCGGCGGCUCUGCAGCCAAGGAGAGACCCAGGAGUGCCUUGGAGCGCCUGGCGUCGCCCCCCGAGGCCCCCCCGCCCGCCGGGGCCCCCCCCCGGGGCCGGAUGACGGCGGAGGAGCAGCUGCAGCGGAUGAAGCGCCACCAGAGGGCGCUGGUCCGGGAACGCAAGAGGAACCUGAGCCAGGGCGACCGCUCCGGCUCCGGCGUCGCCGCGGCGACCCACCGCUCCGCCUCCUCCCCCCGGCUGCCCUGCGGCGCCGCCGACCCGCCCUCCUCCGUACGUUACCCCCCGCCGCCCCGCGGCGGCGCCGGCGACAGACACCGGGACCCCCGGCUGCCCCGCCCCUGCUGCUACGCCGCGCUGCCCCCGGCCACGUCGUAGCCCGGGACCGCUAACACGCUAGCUGUGUAACCCGCGGUUGCCCACGGUAACCAGCACUAACGAGCUAAACGGCCGGCACGGUUAAUGCUUUAAGAGACUAAACGAGCACAGGGGAUUGUGUGACUUGUAGUUUUUAAAGGAUCGUGAUUACCACUGCCCCCCCACACGCCCCGCCCCCCCCGAUGGAACCUCACUGGCACAAUUGUGAAUGUAAAACCCCAGCGGAGGAGGUGAUGACAUCACUUCCUGCUCCGCCCUAAUCGGCAGGACGUUUAUUUAUUUACCAGAUAUUAUUACCAGAUAUUUUCAGAUUCAGUUGUACAGAAAUAUUUUGUAGAGAUUUGCUAUAAAGAGCGUUUAGGAGAGAUGGACGUGUCGGAGAAGAAGAAUCAGGAUGGUGACCCCGCCCCCCGUGACUCCGCCCCCCCGUGACUCCGCCCACGCGUUCUUUUCUCCACAAGUGCCUUGUUUCGUUGAUGAUCUUUUUGCCUUUUUCUCCCUCUUUGCCGGUUGGUUUUAAAUGUGGGGGGGGUAGCGGCUAGCAGCUAGCGGCUAGCUCCGGCCACCGGUCUGAAUGGGGGAUGCUAGCAGCGCUAACACGUAGGGCUGGGCAAUUUUGGACAAAAAUAAAAUCCCGAUUUUUUUCUCUGAAAACCCGAUUUUCGAUUUCGAUUUUUUUGGUAAAACUACAAAAGACAAUGGAAUAAAUUGUUUCAAAUAUUUUAUCUUUAUUUUAAAGAAAAAUAGCAAACAAAUUUCCCUAUUGGGAAUGAAGUGCAACUGAAAGAUACUGUAAAUCCUCCUUGAGUUUAGUAAAGUGACAACAUUUACCAUUUUCUUGACCAAACAAAGAUGACUAGACGAGCUCUGUCUGUAAUGCAGCUGCAAAAAAGGAAAAUCGAUUUUCCGAUUUUCCUUUUUUUAACAUCGUCUUCAAUAAAAAAUCCGAUUUAGAUUUAAAAUCGAUUAAUCGCACAGCCCUACUAACACGCUUGGGUGGACUGACGUAGCUCCACGUGUGACGACUAGCAGCUUGGUGUGAUUCCGGACUAACGCACGAGUGACCGCACUGCUGUGUGGACCGCAUUUCCCAUGAGCCCUUGGGGUUCCCAGGCAAAAGCAAUACGGUUCCCGUCCCGCGGGGGGCGAUGACAUCACAGCGGGUUUUAUCUGCUGCUCUAAUCACGGCUGAUCAUUGAUUAAAGCGGGGGGGGGGGGGGGACUUGGGUCCCGUCUGAAGCCGGUUCUGGGCGGUUUUUAGGGUCGUAAUCAGGUUCCAGGACCUCCGGGAAACUUUCCAGACCGGGAGAGACGAGCGUCGAAUCAAUCAGUCACGUGCAGAUAUGGAGUCCUUCGCGGCCCAUCGUGUCCCAUGAUCCCUUGCGGUUUGAUUGGCGGCUGCAGCUGUGACCUCACUGCAGCCGGUGUUGCUAGGCGACCGCUAGGGCUGGGCGAUACGGACCAAAAGUCAUAUCUGGAUAUUUUCUAGCUGAAUGUUGAUACUCGAUAUAUAUCGAUAUUUUUUCUGUGCCAUAAUUGGGGUUUCCCCCAAAGCAUUAUAGCAUAGCAUCUCUGUUAGCAUCUCUGUUAGCAUCUCUGUUAGCUUCAUUUUUUCUGAGGCAAACCCUUAAAAAAACAGUCAGUUUUAAUACAAUGCCUCGUGCCAAAUGUCACACAGGUUCCUUUAUUAACAGAGGUCUGCACAAUAUCAAAAUGUAUAAAACAAAUGAAAUAAAAAUAAACUGCCUGCAUAUAUAGAAUAAAAUGCUUCUUGAAUAAAAUAAAACAAAUAUCCCUUUCCUGCAUAACAAUUAAAUUAAAAUACACUGUGCAAUUAAUACAAUGUAGACAGUAACAGGCAGACUUUUCCACUGAGGUUGACAGUUGUGCAAAUAACAAAACAUUUGUGCAAAUCUCAAAUAAAACAUUCAAGUCAAUUUGUCACAAAAUAAGCUAUAUCAAAAUCUUAAAAAAAAUAAAUAUAUAUAUAUAUUUUUUUAAAUCGAUAUAAACGAUAUUGUCUCGUACCAUAUGGCGUUUGAAAAUAUAUCGAUAUAUAUUAAAAUCUGGAUAUAUCGCCCAGCCCUAGCGCCCAGCGCUGGACACGUAAACAGGAAGUGGUCCGGUUCUGGCGGGACCGCAGGUCCAGGCGUCGGGGGUUUUAACGGGAACCUGCAGAAUCAUCCGGAGUAGGAACUUCCUGACAAAUCUGGUCAAGAGUUAAUGAUUUGAAUUGAUUUCCAUGUGGAAAGUUCCCGCCGCUCAGACGUCUCCGUCAGAAAGACUUUUCAGUCGUUUAUUUUAUUACAUCAACUUCUCGCCCCUCGAUCAUUACCAGGUGAUAAAGUAAAGCCCCCCCCCAGCACUGGUUGCCUAGCAACCCCCCCACUAACAGAAGCAGCACGACUCUCCUCUUUUCUAUCAUGUAGAUUUGCACCCGACAAUAAAGAGUUUCUUGCUUCUGAACGUCUUCGGGCUCCUUUGUUCCUGAUUGGUGGAGGUUCUGACCGGUCCUGGCCGGUUCUGACCGGUCCUGACCGGUUCUGACCGGGUCUGUCUGCAUGCUGGUGUCUGCUCUGUCCUCUGGUCCCUGAACGCAGCAUGGAGGCCUCCUGUCCUACAGCAUGUGAACGCAGCAGCAGCAGCAGCUGGUCCUCCGGGGGAAGCAUGGCUUGAAGCUCCGCCCACCGUGAUGACGCUCAAGUGUUUGACUGGCAGGAGGAGCGACCCGGGGCCGAGGGGCAGAGCGACGAGGGUCUGGACCGGGUCUGGGACCGGGACGCGGAGCGGCGACGGACGUCGUCGGACGGGUGGCUGAAGGUGACGGCGACCCGCGUGCA